GGACCCGUGGUGUAGGGGCAAGCAUGGUUGCCUCUCACCCAGUCGGCCUGGGUUCGAUUCCCAGACGGUACCG
rnacentral:tRNA from 2 species